UAUACAUAUUUAUCAAUACUAGAAUAAUUUUUUGAAAAAUUUCACAUUAUAUAGAUAUAACUAUUGGGUAUUCCAGAAACAAGAUGGUGAUAUAGCAUAAUUUUUCUCAGAAAAAAUUCAAAAUCUUGAAGGAAUGUUAUGAAGUUGUUGAAUAGUUUCGAAUGAUUUUUUGGAUUUUAAAACAAAUUUAUAUUAUCAUUAUUCCCCCGUUUAUUCGAUAUAUUUAAUAUACUAUUAUCGAUUCAAUAGGUACCACAUAUAAUAAUCUCCAGAAGGAUUUUGGACUUUGCGAAACUUAGAAGCUUCGAGCCGAAUCAUGAAGAGAAGGAAGAGAGGAGCAAGCAAAUUGAGUAAGCAAACGAGGAAGGGAAAGAAAGUUUUCGUUCCAGAUAUUUCUGAUGGAAUUGGAAUAGCAGGAACCAGCAAGGACAAAGUAAUGA